rnacentral:rRNA from 1 species
GACGAACGCUGGCGGCGUGCUUAACACAUGCAAGUCGAGCGGUAAGGCCCUUUCGGGGGUACACGAGCGGCGAACGGGUGAGUAACACGUGGGUGACCUGCCCUCAGCUCUGGGAUAAGCCUGGGAAACCGGGUCUAAUACUGGAUAUGACUCCAUGACGCAUGUUGUGGGGUGAAAGCCUUGUGCGGCUGAGGAUGGGCCCGCGGCCUAUCAGCUUGUUGGUGGGGUGANGGCCUACCAAGGCGACGACGGGUAGCCGGCCUGAGAGGGCGACCGGCCACACUGGGACUGAGACACGGCCCAGACCCCUACGGGAGGCAGCAGGUGGGGAAUCUUGCGCAAGUGGGCGAAAGCCUGACGCAGCGACGCCGCGUGGAGGAUGAAGGUC